rnacentral:rRNA from 1 species
AUUGAACGCUGGCGGCAGGCCUAACACAUGCAAGUCGAACGGUAACAGGAAGAAGCUUGCUUCUUUGCUGACGAGUGGCGGACGGGUGAGUAAUGUCUGGGAAACUGCCUGAUGGAGGGGGAUAACUACUGGAAACGGUAGCUAAUACCGCAUAACGUCGCAAGACUAAAGAGGGGGACCUUCGGGCCUCUUGCCAUAGGAUGUGCCCAGAUGGGAUUAGAUAGUAGGUGGGGUAACGGCUCACCUAGUCGACGAUCCGUAGCUGGUCUGGGAGGAUGACAAGAGACACUGGCGCUGAGCCACGGUACGGACUCCUACGGGAGGCAGCAGUGGGGAAUAUUACACGAGGGGCGCAAGCCUAAUGCAAACAUGCCGCGUGUAUGAAGAAGGCCUUGGGGUUGUAAAGUAAUUUCAGCGGGGAGGAAGGGAGUAAAGUUAAUACCUUUGCUCAUUGACAUUACCCGGAGAAGAAGCACCGGCUAACUCCGUG